CAUUCUCACACACUAAAAACCCUUCCCUGACCUCAAGACCCUAAUCGACACAACCCCCUCCUUUAAUUACCUCGCUAUUCAAUUCUACAACUCAAUCGCUCAACUAUCGGUCUUCUCUCAGCCCUCUCUAUAUUCUUUCUUCUUGAUGUACGCCUCCCCUCUGUCUAUGAUAUCGGUUUGGAAGUUCAUGUAGUGGCGCUCAGUUUUUGGUGGAACGCAACCAAGACUCAGGUGAUGAUUGCCAUUCGAACACACAUUAAAGACAGGUCCUGUGGGUGAAUUGGGGAGAAGGGAGAUGGCAGAAGCCCUAGCCGCCGUCGGAUGGUUCCGGUGAGUUAUUCCGUUAUAUAUACGUAUUUAUGUAUCGGUGACUUCCAUCGUCAACUUUCUUUGUGUUCACUGUUGCUUUUUCAGGUUGAUACAUGUAAUCUUCAUGCCUGUCUUCUUUGAGAAUACGUCUUGAUCUACUAGCAUUCUCUUUAUGGAUGUAAAAAUGGGUUACCAGAAUCCAGAAUUAGGUCUUGAUUGAAGCGAAAGUAACAAUUUUGCACGGAAAUUGGGGAUUUUUAUAAGUUAGUGUAGCUGUUGAGGAUUCUAGGGUUUGUGAGAGGUGUGUAUAAAAUUGCGAAGGAAGAUGUUUUAUUCGCAGUUUAUAUUAGCAAAAAAGGGUCCGUUAGGGACGAUAUGGAUAGCGGCGCAUCUCGAGAGGAAGCUUAGGAAAAAUCAGGUUGCUGAUACUGAUAUUGGUGUCUCUGUAGGUUGCUUGUGGGUUCGGAUUUGUGGUUUUCGCUGACCCGGUGGUUGCUGAAAGAGUUGUGAAAGAUAAGCAUAUCAUAGAUGGUAGCGAUGUGGAGGGGAAGGCGGUUUCAACGGAUGAUCAAACAAGUUGUUAACUGGAAGAACGGUAGUGUCCAAUUCUUGGCGUUUUUUUCCCGGGUAUGCUUUGUUCCAACUUCAUAGGAAAUUUUGCAAAAGAAUUCAUGGGUGGGGUCAGACGAUUGACAAAGUUUGUCACUCAGCAUUAACGAGUUUUUGAAACUUGCUGCUGGUGAAAGAAACUACACCCCUUGGCGGGAGUGGAGGCCAUAAAGGAGGUAGACGUUACAACCAAGGUUCUGCAAGCCAUGCCCCUAAAGCCCCAAAAAUUGAAGACUUGCGUCACUUUUCUACUUUAGGUGGCAGGGGAAUUAUUCUUCUCGCCAUGCUGACACGUCAUCAACUUUUCAACACUUUUACUGAUGGCAGAAGUAAUCAUAUUAGCAUAACCGAGUCCUAUUUAUUCGCAAAUGUCUCAGAAAUAAUGGUGUCGAGUCACAAAGCUUGGAGAGCCCAAGGAAUCUGGAUGAUGUAAGUGAUAAGAUGAAACAGGGCAGUUGACCGAAACUAUAAAUGCUGCUUAGUGUCGGCUGAUUAUUAUGUUAGACAGUGCCUAUACCUCUAACAAGGUAUGCCAACCAUUAAUGUUCAUGAUAAGUUUUUCAAGUGGCAAAAUGGAUUGGUGAGGAGGCUCAGGUAACAGGUAAAUAGCGGUAGCUCUUUGGGACGCGUUGAAUGGGGCUGGGUCGGCAUGUCAAAUAUGGUUACAAAAUUUAUGUUAUCUAUAAUAAUUUAGUUUUUGUAUAAAAUGAUUUUAGAGGUUUUAUGCACUAAAGAUGCACACUAUUGACCCACUUCUUUUUAAGCUAAACUAGGGGAUAUGCCCGCCGCGUU